rnacentral:lncRNA from 1 species
CUCAAACGUAGAGAAGAGGCUUAUGUUGUGUUUAAAGCCCAUGCUUAGCCCAGGAAUCAUAGAUCAGUACCAAUCCUGAUCCCUUUUCUCAUAAAAAUCCACUACUAGUUUCCCCUUCGAGUGUUUUUUCCCAGUAACCUAAAUUAGGGUUCUUGCCAGCACAACUAGUGGUGAAGGCUCCUGGGAGUUUUAGUCCAACAUCUGGAAACCAAUGAAAUAGGCAAACGGAGGGAAGGUGAUCAUAAGCUCCUUACUCAGAAUGCUGCAUGAGAACCCUUAUGGUAGGGUUCUCACAGAUAUGCUACCUAUGUAAUACCCAAAGAUUCUUUCUAUCUAUUGAUAGAUACUUAUUCUCUAAUUUCCGUAGCUAAUCCUAUUUUCAAAAAAGUUCCCCUAAAGUUCCCUUAAUAACCAUAUUUCAGACUCAGCUCUUGAAUUUGGCAGAAGCUGUAAUUAACCUGCUUUAUUUCCCCAAAGGCUAUGCUUCUGUAUUUUGGGGACAAGCAGCCUAUUUAAUGGGCAAGGCAGUAACCUGGCAUCUUGUUUUAUGUCACAACAGACUCGAGGCUGCAUCUUUCUACGUAAACAAAGGCCUGGCUCUUCUGGAGGAGAGAAAUAAAGGAGUGCUUUGCUUAAAACAUUUUCAUGAAGGGAAAAAGUUUCAGAUUCCGUGCUGCUGUGGGAAUCUGCAGAAAAAUGAAAUCAAUCACCCUAGUGAUGUCUUUGGAGAUCUGCAACCUCCGCGGCAGACUUGGCUACCAUGAGUAAACCCCAUUUGUCUAUUAAAGUAGGGAAUUGCAGUGGUUUGGCAGGAGGAAGUAAAUCCAGACCAAAACAGCUCUGAGUCCUGUAUUGCCAACUUACUUGGGUGGAGUACUGGAAAAUUACAGCUGCCUGCCAGAGCACAGCUGUACCCGGAAGACAUCCACCCACUGCCUUGCAAUCUCCUUAGCCAUCCUAGGAGCAUGGGCUGGGUCUCUAGCAAGAGGGGAAAUUUCUCCUCUGCAACUCAGAGACACUCUUUUCUUUCUUCUUACUUUGUGUGCCCCAAAUUCUGCAAAACGUCUUUGACCAUGGACCAUUUCUGAGAUGCGUAUAUGCAGUACACAUCUUUUUCUUCCUGCUUUAAAAAAAAGCUAAAAUUCAUGCAUGCAUAUAAAAAGAUAGCCUUGGGUGCAUUGUAAAGCCUCAAAUCAGUUGAAAGUGCAAAACAAUACCCUCCAGUGAGUGAAUGUGAUUAGAAAAGGAUGCAGUGCUCUAUCAUUGGAGGAGAUAGAACUGACAGAAAGCAACCUGCUUGACAUAGCUCAUACGGAACAGAAAAACACAGUUGUCAUGGUAAGCAUUCAUACUCCCCAUAGCAACUGCAGCACUAAAUAAUGGCAGAUGUGCCGGGCAGACCCCAGCACACUGGUGAACCCUCAUGGCAUCCUUUUACCUUUCCGUAACUUUAAAACGUGUCUUCUCUUGACGUGUUUGCUAGAAGGGCAUACCUGAGAAAAUAAAAACAAAAUGAAAAAAAAAUAUGGAAAAUGU